GAUGUACUCCCUUCGUCCGGAAUUACUUGUCAUAGUAAUAGAUGUAUCAAGAUAUAUUUUAGUUAUAGAUACAUUCAUUUCUUUUUAUUUUAGUGACAAGUAAUUCCGGACGGAGGGAGUAUUUU
rnacentral:pre_miRNA from 1 species